CCUACGGGCGGCAGCAGUGGGGAAUAUUGGACAAUGGGGGGAACCCUGAUCCAGCCAUGCCGCGUGUGUGAAGAAGGCCCUCGGGUUGUAAAGCACUUUCAGUGAGGAAGAACGCCUGGUGGUUAAUACCCAUCAGGAAAGACAUCACUCACAGAAGAAGCACCGACUAACUCCGUGCCAGCAGCCGCGGUAAUACGGAGGGUGCGAGCGUUAAUCGGAAUUACUGGGCGUAAAGCGCGCGUAGGUGGCUUGAUAAGCCGGUUGUGAAAGCCCCGGGCUCAACCUGGGAACGGCAUCCGGAACUGUCAAGCUAGAGUGCAGGAGAGGAAGGUAGAAUUCCCGGUGUAGCGGUGAAAUGCGUAGAGAUCGGGAGGAAUACCAGUGGCGAAGGCGGCCUUCUGGACUGACACUGACACUGAGGUGCGAAAGCGUGGGUAGCAAACAGGAUUAGAUACCCCGGUAGUC
rnacentral:rRNA from 1 species